rnacentral:rRNA from 1 species
GACGAACGCUGGCGGCGUGCUUAACACAUGCAAGUCGAGCGGAAAGGCCCUGCUUGCAGGGUACUCGAGUGGCGAACGGGUGAGUAACACGUGGGUGAUCUGCCCUGCACUUCGGGAUAAGCCUGGGAAACUGGGUCUAAUACCGGAUAGGAGCCAUUUUUAGUGUGAUGGUUGGAAAGUUUUUUCGGUGUAGGAUGAGCUCGCGGCCUAUCAGCUUGUUGGUGGGGUAAUGGCCUACCAAGGCGGCGACGGGUAGCCGGCCUGAGAGGGUGGACGGCCACAUUGGGACUGAGAUACGGCCCAGACUCCUACGGGAGGCAGCAGUGGGGAAUAUUGCACAAUGGGCGCAAGCCUGAUGCAGCGACGCCGCGUGGGGGAUGACGGCCUUCGGGUUGUAAAUUCCUUUCGCUAGGGACGAAGCUUUUUGUGACGGUACCUAGAGAAGAAGCACCGGCUAACUACGUG